GACGAACGCUGGCGGCGUGCCUAAUACAUGCAAGUAGAACGCUGAAGGAGGAGCUUGCUUCUCCGGAUGAGUUGCGAACGGGUGAGUAACGCGUAGGUAACCUGCCUGGUAGCGGGGGAUAACUAUUGGAAACGAUAGCUAAUACCGCAUAACAGUAGAUAUCGCAUGAUAUCUGCUUGAAAGGUGCAAUUGCAUCCCUACCAGAUGGACCUGCGUUGUAUUAGCUAGUUGGUGAGGUAACGGCUCAACAAGGCGACGAUACAUAGCCGACCUGAGAGGGUGAUCGGCCACACUGGGACGGAGACACGGCCCAGACUCCUACGGGAGGCAGCAGGAGGGAAUCUUCGGCAAUGGACGGAAGUCUGACCGAGCAACGCCGCGUGAGUGAAGAAGGUUUUCGGAUCGUAAAGCUCUGUUGUAAGAGAAGAACGAGUGUGAGAGUGGAAAGUUCACACUGUGACGGUAUCUUACCAGAAAGGGACGGCUAACUACGUG
rnacentral:rRNA from 1 species